UGCGGGGAAGGGAUACGUUUAUUGAAAGGAAUUGCAAGGAUUCUCAGAAUCUGUAGCCCAUGACAGAAAAUUAAGCCGGUGAGUUCAGGGAGACGUCUGAGGGCUGUGGUCGAGGCUUUCACAGGAAGCUGAUGGGAGGUCAGGGUCAGACCCUCUCAAGCUCUUUCUACUAUAAACACCCCCGCCCCACAUUCCUGAAACAGCAGGCCAGGGCUGGGAUUCAGGGCUUUGAGGUCAAGCAUUUGUCUCCAUCCAGGGCAUCUGAUACAUACUGGGUGUGUGUUGAAGAAUCAGAUCUUGCACUGGCAGCAAACGGGGACACAGCAGCUGGACUGGGAGCAGCAGGGUUUGCAGCAGCUGGACUGGGAGCAGCAGGGUUUGCAGCAGCUGGACUGGGAGCAGCACACGGGGAUGCAGCAGCUGGACUGGGAGCACCAGGGUUUGCAGCAGCUGGACUGGGAGCAGCACACGGGGAUGCAGCAGCUGGACUGGGAGCAGCAGGGUUUGCAGCAGCUGGACUGGGAGCAGCAGACGGGGAUGCAGCAGCUGGACUGGGAGCAGCCACAGGAGCCACAGCCCCACAUGAGCCACAGCCCCUUGGAGCCCCACAGGAGCCGCAGCCCCACAUGAGCCACAGCCCCUU
rnacentral:lncRNA from 1 species